GUGGCUCUCGCGAGAGCCAGCGGGUAAACAUCGGCCCCCUCCGCGGGCCCGCCCGCUGCCAUUAGCGCGGGGGCGGCGGCGCGCUCGGAGCUGGUGGGAGGAAUGAAAGAAUAUCCGCUUCUAAUUUUGCUCUGAAGAGUGAAAAGAAAUAGGAGCCCACAGGCUACUGACCUGAGAGAGUUUGAGCCUGUGAUCACUGAUAUGCUGUAGAGGAGCUCCAGUCUUAACAAAGACCUUGGCAUAUUGGAGUGUGUUAAAUUUCCUUCCACAGAAGGGGAAACAAAAUUUUUCUUGUCUUUGAUCAGAUGAAAGGUUGUGAAACCUUUUUCUACUCUGUGUAAUAAAGAGAGCUGUUUACAAUU